rnacentral:rRNA from 1 species
UACGAAGGGGGCUAGCGUUGCUCGGAAUCACUGGGCGUAAAGCGCACGUAGGCGGAUUGCUAAGUCAGGGGUGAAAUCCUGGAGCUCAACUCCAGAACUGCCUUUGAUACUGGGUAUCUGGAGUCCGAGAGAGGUGAGUGGAAUUCCGAGUGUAGAGGUGAAAUUCGUAGAUAUUCGGAGGAACACCAGUGGCGAAGGCGGCUCACUGGCUCGGUACUGACGCUGAGGUGCGAAAGCGUGGGGAGCAAACAGG